UUCAUUUAGAACCCUAAUAAAAGAAGCCGGAGGGGAUUAAAGACACCCGCUUCAGUUCAUCUUCCCCCUAACCCUCCAAUCCCAUAAAAUCCACCAAACCCUACAUAGCCUCUCUGCAACACAAUAUACUCAUCGAUCCAUCUUCUUCUUCGUAGACUAAUAAAAUGUCAGGCCACAUCGCAUAGGAUUAGGAACCGGUGGUCAUCCGCAACGCCAGCCCCACCGCCGCCGCUCGUAAGGACGAGAAAGCCGUCAACGCCGCCCGUCGCGCCGGUGCUGAGAAGAGAGAACCCUAAGGAAAACGAAUACAAAAGAGAAAGACACGAGACAAAUCGAUAGAGAGGGACUGACAUUGGGGAACUUCAUAUCAGGUGUGGUAUGAUAAUGUACCUCAUAACAAAGACAAGUUUACAUUUCCAGGAGGUGGAACACAGUUCAUACAUGGUGCAAAUCAGUACUUGGAUCAGAUUUCCAAGAUGGUUCCUGAUAUUGACUUUGGUCAACGUGUCCGAGUUGCCUCUGUGGUGUAGCAAGUUUUGGUGCAUUUUCAUAUUAUAUACAUUUGUUUUCGUCACUGUUUAACCGCUUUUACUUUGAUUUUGUAGGAAUAUACGAAGCAACGUCUUUGGAUUGUGGGAAAAAAGAUAAUGUGCAUAGCACUGAUAUUACAAACGGGAUUUUUGAGGACCAAAAUGAGAGGUCUCCUCUUCCAACAUGAAGUAUUUGAGACUCAUAGGUUUGUUUCAUUAUUCUAAUUUUUAACGGGUUGACGGUUUAACUAAAUAGGCUGACCCGAACAUGACCUGUUUGUUAAACGGGUUAGAAAUGACAACUUAAAAUCUUAUUUAGAUCUCAGCGUUUUUCAGAAAUUAAACAGUUGUUCAAAGCGAGCAACUACGAGGUAGGCGGAGGUUAAGGUCAGUUUUGUUCCUUUACCAGACUGAUUUUAAUUUUUGUCCUUCAUCUUUUUGUGCUGCCUGACGUAACACCUUUAAGUGAGCUCAGGAUAUUGGCUACUAUGGACCAAAUAAAAAGAAAAACAAAGUAGUUUUACCUUAAUGUAUCUUAUUGUUUGAAGAUGGGAAGCCUAAUGAUUUCCUUACAAACUUUGCUAACAUAACCAUGUGGUGGCAUAUCAAAUGAUGCAUUGUUAACUGUGAAUCAAGAUGUUUGUUUUUAUUUUUAGGAACUCAGUUGAGAAGAAACAGUUACCCAGAAGUGGGGAAAAUCAACCCUUCUGAGCACAAGCAGUUGAAGCUUGCAAGGAGUUUGAAUCGUGGUAUCAUCGAUAGAGAUCUUAAGCCCAGCUCUACCGAAAGAAAGCAAGUUUUAUUCAAAAUUUAAUCAUUUAUAUUUCUAAUUUCUUUAUUUUUAUUUUAUAUUAUUAUCCAUUUAUCCUUGUAUGCUACUUAUUAGGUCAACUCAAAGGAUACUAAAGUACCCACCAACACGAACUUUGAGUGGAGACGAGAGACAGUUGCUAUGGAAAUUCCGUUUCUCGUUAAUGUCGGAGAAACGAGCAUUAACAAAGUUUCUUUGAUGUGUUGAGUGGAGUGACGUUCAGGAAGCAAAACAGGCGAUUGAACUGAUGGGUCGCUGGGCAAUGAUUGACGUAUGUGAUGCAUUAGAGCUUCUGUCACCCGUU